GGCGAGUGAAGCGGCAACAGCUCAAAUUUGAAAUCUGGCGCAAGCCCGAGUUGUAAUUUGUAGAGGAUGCUUCUGGGUAGCGACCGAUCUAAGUUCCUUGGAACAGGACGUCAUAGAGGGUGAGAAUCCCGUAUGUGACCGGCCCGCACCCUUUACGUAGCUCCUUCGACGAGUCGAGUUGUUUGGGAAUGCAGCUCUAAAUGGGAGGUAAAUUUCUUCUAAAGCUAAAUACCGGCCAGAGACCGAUAGCGCACAAGUAGAGUGAUCGAAAGAUGAAAAGUACUUUGGAAAGAGAGUUAAAAAGCACGUGAAAUUGUUGAAAGGGAAGCGCCUGCAACCAGACUUCGUGGCAGUGUUCCGCCGGUCUUCUGACCGGUUCAUUCUCUGUCGCGAGGCCAUCAUCGUCUGGGCCCGCCGGAUAAGACCUGAGGAAUGUGGCUCCCCCUCGGGGGAGUGUUAUAGCCUCUGGUGAUGCGGCGAGGCUCGGGCGAGGUCCGCGCUUCGGCAAGGAUGAUGGCGUAAUGGUUGUCGGCGGCCCGUCUUGAAACACGGACCAAGGAGUCUAACAUCUAUGCGAGUGUUCGGGUGUCAAACCCCUACGCGUAAUGAAAGUGAACGGAGGUGGGAACCGCAAGGUGCACCAUCGACCGAUCCUGAUGUCCUCGGAUGGAUUUGAGUAAGAGCAUAGCUGUUGGGACCCGAAAGAUGGUGAACUAUGCCUGAAUAGGGUGAAGCCAGAGGAAACUCUGGUGGAGGCUCGCAGCGGUUCUGACGUGCAAAUCGAUCGUCAAAUUUGGGUAUA
rnacentral:rRNA from 1 species